AAGUGAUUUAGUGGGAGAAAAAAAGGAAAAUAGAAAACAAAUGUUGCCCACAGAAUUGUUGGCAAAAAGGUAAAAACUCUCUGUUUCUUUUGAAAGCAUUCCCUCGUCUGGGAGCAAUCCCUGCCCAUCGUGGCUUUGGGGCCCAGUCCCUGAGAUUGUGUUUGUCUUGGAGCUGGUGGGCUUGAUUUCACGUUUGUCCCUGGGAAGCUGAUUGAGGCAGCGUCGGCAGUGAGGGCAGGGGUAGGUUGCGUAGAAAGUAAAUGGCCGCAGAUCAGAUCCAAUCCUUAUCCCACAGAAUGAACCUUGUUUCCUUGAUUAAAAAUAAUAAUAAUAACAAAAUGAAUGUUGGGGUUAAGUAAAUGUGAGUUAAUUACUAAGUUGUGACCACGUUCACAGUUUCUGAGGCUAAACACUUCAACGCUCCUUGUCAGUUUAUGUUAGGCAAUAAUUUGAAUGACUACUGGUUAGCUGUUUCACUUCAUUCAUAUUAAGAAACAAUAUACAAAGGGUAUAAAGUGAUCAGCUCUGUUUACGCUGAGGAGGAGGGUUAUAAAAUCAGCUAACAGGGAGCAGGGCAGAGGGGAGAGUGCUCAGGGUUUUUGAUGUGCUUCUGAUGAUCGUUUACGAAGGAAAAUCUUUGGAGAAACUUUUAAAUGUAGACACUCUGGGAACAGUGAAAUGAUGCAAAGCCCUCAACGGCAUUUUCAGCAUGGACCAGGGAGAGAGGAGAGAGUUUCCCUGGAACACACAGCUUGUCGAUAAGAAAGAGCCUACAAAAUACUCCAGGUCAAAAGGAGCGAGAUCCAGGAUCAGUUGAACUCCUGCAAGACCUGCCAGUGCCGAAUUACAGCAAUCUUGGUGCCUGCUGAGGUGGGAGUCAGGGAGGCUGUGGAAUUCUGAGCUUCCUGGUUGGCUGAGGAGAGAGGGCUCAGGGGAGAGGUCUUCCUCCCACCACUGCCUUAGAGAAACCCCAAAACCUCAUAGCUUCGAACCCCAGAAUUCUCUGGUCUUCUGCAAAAAUGCAGACAUGCUGGUGUCAGGAAUCAGCCUGGAGUCCCAGGAGCAGCAUCUCACAUCUUUACGGCAACACAAAACAAAGCAACACAAAAACAACAAAUGCAAAGAUAUCUUCUUGAGGAGAGGCCUCAACUGAAUGAGCAGGGAGGGGCGUGUUCCUUAAACCAGUGGUUCUCAAAAGGUGGUAUCUGGACCAGCAGCAGCAGCAGUGCCACCUGGGUGCAGACCAGAGGAUUCCAGAGCCCUGAGGGCUCCUAGAAGGAACACAGUGACAUCACAGAGUCAUUGUGGGGGAGGGGUUGGGCCAGCCAGGGCAGGCAGGGACAGCCCCUCUGAUGAGGAGGCCACUGGGCUGAGACCAAUGAAUGAGAUGGAGCCAGCCACGUGGUGAGCCAGAAGAGGGCAUCACAGGGCUUGAGUCUGGGGGAGCCUGGCUGCCCAGAGGUGGCAGAUGACAUGAAGAAAUAACCAUGUAAGGGCUGGCUGUGUAUGAGAGCAAGCAUUGGGAAGGAUGAAUGCCAACUAUGUUCCAGGAACUUCCACUGUUCUCACACACCCAGGUGAGUGGUGUUCAGGUGGGUGGCACCCAGGUGAGUGACAUCCCAGUUGAGUGGCACCCAGGUGAGUAGCAUCCAGGUGAGUGACACCUAGGUGAGUGACAUUCAGGUUAGUGGCGUCUGUGUGAGUGGCAUCAUCCAGGUGAGUAGCUUCCAGGUGAGUGGCACCCAGGUGAGUGGCAUUCGGGUGAGUGGCAUUAUCCAGGUGACACCUGGGUGAGUGGCAUCCAGGUGAGUGAUAUCAUCCAGGUAAGUGGCACCUAGGUGACAUCCAGGUGAGUGACGACAUCCAGGUGAGUGACAUCAUCCAGGUAAAUGGCACCCAGGUGAGUAGCAUUCAGGUGAGUGACACCCAGGCGAGUGGCAUCCACGUGACUAGCAUUGUCCAGGUGCAUAACACCCAGGUGAGUGGCACCCAGUUGAGUGGUGCCCAAGUGAGUCACAUCCAGGUAAGUGGGGUCCAGGUGGUGGCACCCAGGCGAGUGGUGCCCAGGUGAGUGACAGCCAGGUGAAUGGUGUCCAGGUGAGUGGCAUCACCCAGGUGAAUGGUGUCCAGGUGAGUGGCAUCCAGGUAAGUGGUGUCCAGGUGGUGGCACCCAGGUGAGUGGUGUCCAGGUGAGGGGCAUCACCCAGGUGAAUGGUGUCCAGGUGAGUGGCAUCCAGGUGGGUGGUACCGUCGACGUGACAAUAGCUAAAAAUUAUUGGGCUCAUUGUGGACAGGCACUGUGCCGAGCUUGACAUCACUGAACUCAGUUCAUCCUCGCCAGGAGCUUGUGGGCCGUCCCUAGAUCAGAAUCCGAGGAGAAAGGACUUCCACACGGCAGCCAGCGAGCUGGAGGGCGGCCUCCUGCCACCACCAGGCUCCCUAACCCAGUCCUGGAUAUCUGUGAAAGAAUGAGUGGAUCCCCACAGGCCAGCCCUGACUUCCCACAGCUAUCCCCAAACACACUCGUUUACACUGAAGCACCAGGAGAUCAGAACCUUCUGGAAUCUUAAUAUGCGAGGACUCGGUGGAGAAGGCGGCACUGAAGAAGAGUCGUCCCUAGGCCAGGCUGGAGGGAAACUCAAGACGGCGGCCUGGCCCUCCUGGGUGGCGGAAGUGGGAGCAGCAGGAGCCCUGGCGGAUCCGGGAGGCCAGAAGAGCGGAAGCUUCCUCCCCUCUCAGGACAGCCACAAGGACUUUCGGGGGUCGUGGCAGCUGCUCCACUUCCAACUUCCAGAUCCCUCUCACUUUCCUCUUCCCACCAACUCCAACCUGGGACCAAGCAGGGGAAAGCAGCUGCAGCCCAGCUUGACGCCCCUGCAAAUGGAGACCUGUGCACCUGGUUGUGAGCAUUUUAAAGGGUGUCACACAGGGCAUACCCUUCGGUGCCUGGAUUCCUUUGAUGAAAGGGCAAAGCCUUGAACCUAAGUCAUCUUCGAGUCCUCAGCACUUCACCCAGAGCCUGGCACACAGUAGGAGCACAGAAAGGUUUACAUCCAGCAGGAGUUGGCCCUGAGCUCUGAGUCCAGAUCAUUGCUCUUGGCUGAAGCAGCCUGUCUACUCACAAAGAUGAGCAUGGUCCCUGCCACGAGGAAACUCGUGGUCCUGUGGACUGCGGUGUGGAGGGAAAGCUUGGGAUUCUGAGCCUGAUAAUGCACCAUUACAUCCCCACUCACUCGGGCUGUGUGAACCCAGCAAGUCACAGGAUCACUGGGUGGUGAAAGAAAGAAACACUCACAGAAGCGUCUGUGCUUGGAGAGCCAUCUGGUCCGUCAUUGUGACUGCUGCUCUCAUUGCUAUCAUGGGUGUCACCAUUGCCAUCACUCAAGGACUUCUCUCCAGGCCCCGAAGCCAAGCUGGUGCCUGGUUCCUCUGGGUUGGGAGAGGGGCUGGGCAUGGACAGGAGGAGGGAAAAGGGACCUGUGCUAGCAGGUGAUGCCAUCCAAGACAUCUGCAUCCUAAUCCCUGGAACCUGGGAUUCCACUAGGUGCCAUGGCAAAGAGGGAUUAAGGUGGCAGGUGGAGUGAAGGUUGCUAAUCAGCCGACCUUAAAGUAGGGAGAUGAUCCUGAAUGAGACAAAAGAGAGAACCAGUCAUGGUGUCAUGAGAAGGACUCAAAAUGCAACUGCUGACUUUGAAGAUUAAGGGGCUACAAACCAAGGAACGUGGUAGUCUCUGGAAAAGACAAGGAAUAGACGCUGCGUUGGGGCCACCAGAAGGAACCAGCCCUGUCAACACCCUAAUUUUAGCCCAGUGAGGCCUGUGCUGGACUUCUGACCUCCAGAACUGUAAACUAAUAAAUGUGUGUUGUUUCUGCCACUAGAUUUGUGGGAAUUUGUUAGGGCAGGCAUAAGAAACUGAUACUGUGGUAUUCCCUGCUGUGUCCCCAGGACCUCGUGGCCAGUAGGCUCACAAAAAAUAUCUAUUUAAUGGACAAACAUCGUGAAGGAAAUGCUUUUCUGUGAGCCUACCGUGUGCCAGUUUUUUGACACUGUGUGAGUUGUCAGAUUCAGCAAAUAAAAAUACAGAAUGCCCAGGUAGAGUUGAAUUUUAGAUAAAC
rnacentral:lncRNA from 10 species